rnacentral:lncRNA from 1 species
AAUCAUACAAUAACAUGUUUAAAGUAUCAUUAUUUAUAUGAAUUUUUUAUCUAUGCUACUCGAAAGUUAAAACCCGGUUUUAUUUACCCACGCUUAUUUUCUCUUUUCACCCUUUUUUUAAAAUUUAUUCAGACGAAUAUACGACAAAAGUACAGGAAAGAUAUUUUCUCAAUUAAUUAAAUAUAAAAUUAUUAAUUAACUGAUCUUCUUGAGUUUACUUAAUCCGAACGAUUAAUAGUCUGAACUCGAUCUUUUGAUUAUUAUUUUUUCUUUGAUUACUUAGGUUAGACUUCUCUUACCAAACAAAUAAAAAAAUUCAACGAAGAUUGAAUUUAACGAGACUAAUAAGCAAGAAUUAAGAGAGAACUCAAAGAACGAGACUCGAAUUACAAAUAGGAAAAAAAAGAAAAAUAUUCACUCUACCUCACACGCCCGUCGUAUAAUUUGUUGAACGACCGACGCCUUGUAUCGGUACUCCGGUGGUUUUCUUGUCGUCGAAAAUGCACUUAUAGGUGGAUGUUGGGAAUCGUUUAUUUAUGAGGAAUGGGGGGAAAAGCCUUUCGGCAUAAAAACCCUGGUUGAAAUACAGUUGAUGAUACAGUACAGAAGACUUAAACACAGAGGAAACAUCGGACAUUAAAGAACUCUUGAAACAAUCAAUUAAAAACACCGGAAUCAUAACUAACAUAAUAAUGGAGCAAAAUUCUAUUCUAAAACAACAAACGCAAAAAAUUACCACAAUGUUACAACUAUUAACAAAUACGCUACUUAUAUAACAACAAAUAAUGGAAAUGCCAAAAUUGAACAAAUUCGUUUAAAAAGGAGACAAAUAUCUUGGGCAACUGGUAAAAAAUCUAAACUUAGUAUUAAGAACAAACAAAAAAUCUACAAAAUAAAAAUAAAACCAAUCUGGACCUAUGGAAUACGGCUAUAGGGAUAAAGGGUAUAUCAGCGAAAAGUUAUAUUGCCAAGCUCGAGGCUCAGCAAUCCAUAACCCUACGCACAAUCGUGAAUGCUCUAUGGUACGUCCAUAACGAAGAAAUAAGGAAGGACUUAAAUAUUCCCACGAUAAAAGAAGAAAUAACGAAGACAACUGGCAGAUACAAAAGAAGAAUUGAUACUCACAUAAACCCGCUAGCUAACGAUAACUACAACCAAUAUAUCCCUAGAAGGCUCAAAAGAAUCCACCUAGGAGACCUAGUAAAAAAUUAAACCUAACCGAAAUAAAUGACAAUAGCUAUCUCAUUGGAGAAACCAUCCACGUGCUAUCUUUUCUCACAUAUAUAACAAUUUACUAAAUGUCUGCGGACAGAUUUACAUAUUGUAAAGAUGUAUGGAGUUAAUAAACAAAAAAAAAGGAAAA